rnacentral:lncRNA from 1 species
CCCUGUCCUCAGUUCCAUUGACUUUUUUUUUAUAAAGGAUCCUAGUUUAUUCACUUGUGUUGGUGUUGAUGGGUUAAGUAUAUAUAUAACUUUGUCAUUGUCAGUGAGAUUAGCUAAUGAAUUACUUUCUCUGUUAAUGCAAUUAAAAUAUGUUAAUCUAAUAUUUGAAUUAUGAGAACAAUUUAUUAAGAAAUGUUUCUCAUCAUCUAGUACUUUG